UUGAUCAUGUCAACUUGAAUAAAUGGAGUCAGGGAAAAGCAACAAGGUAAAUCAUAGGGAUUGAAUGGAGAAAGGGAUCAUGGGUAGGAGCCAGCUCUGAGAAGGUUAAUAAACCAAAAACCAAGCCCACUGCCCACAGGUUCAUUCUGACUCAUAGAGACUCCACAGGACAGAGAAGAACUGCCCCACAGAGUUUCCAAGGAGCAGCUGGUGGAUUCGAACUGCCGACCUGUUGGUUAGCAGCCGAGUUCUUAACCACUAUAACACCAGAAGCCCUGGUGGCACAGUGGUUAAGAGUUUGGCUACUAACCAAAAGGUAUCAACAAUUCAAAUCUGCCUCCUGCUCUUUGGAAACUCUAUAGGGCAAUUCUGCUCUGCCCCAUAGGAUUGUUAUGAGUCGAAAUUGACUCGACAGCAACAGGUCCAGUAGUUUUGUUAAGAAAGUGGCCUCUUAUUUUUUUUUAAGGGUCCUCUUACUUUUGGAAACUAGUCAUGUCAGGGGGAAAUAGGGGCAGACCUCAAAGUAAAAGGUGAGGUGGACACCCUCCAUUCAGAGGUUCUGCUUUCCUUGCUGCUUUUCUGGGUAAGUAACAUCAAAAUGUUAGAACAGGAAAAGGUUUUAGCAUUAUAGUAACAUGCAUUAAACUCUCUUUCUCCCCACCCUCCCAGCCUAGUUUCUCAGGUGUAACUUCAGGAACUCACCAGUCUGUACCAAGCCUGCCAAAGUCCGUGGCCAGCUACAGAAAAAACUACCAUUUAAUAUCAGUUCAUCCAGUAACACGGGCUCCCUCCUUCCUCCUCUUCCCCUCUCUCCUAUACCGGAGGGAGAGUUCUCGUUUGUCGUCCUUCCAGCAUGACCCUUCUCCCAAAGGACAGCUUCACCCAUAUUUUCCACCUCAUGGAGCCUCGGGUCCAAGAAAAUGGCCUACAAUGGGAUCAACUGUCCUGUUCCCACCUGGCCUAUGUAGUCUGUGGCAGGGGGACUGACCGGGCGACUACCUGCCUGGGAGAGCCAACAGCCUCUUGGAAAAGUACUCUUACAAGGCCCACAUAUGUGGUCUCAUCCCUGCCCCUCAGUGGGCUGGGGGCAGAGACACUCCUAAACAUGCUGUAGUUGUAGCUUUUCAGUUUUUUCCUGAAAAGUCCCAUGGACUUGCAUCUUAGCACCCAGGAGAGAGGGGCCAUGCACAAAUAAUUGAAGAAGUUACUCCCCAGGAAGUUGGGUGAAACUCUGGUAGUGUAGGGAGCAGUAGGAGAACCCCACACAAGGAUGGGCCAUGGAGUGGGGAUGCAGCCUGCCUCCUGUGUGUCCAUCAUGCCGCUCCUCCCACCUAGUGUUUCCUCCUGGAGGUUCAGCCCAGCUUUCAGGACGCACAUCAAGGCACAGCAUACCACAUCAGGGGUCUUGGGGUGUCGAUGACUUCAGCAUUGGUAGGGAGUGGCUUCCCUCUGGUGGAAAGUUGGUUGUCAGUUUAAGCAUGUAAAAAUUCAAGGCAACCAAUUAAAUUUGAAUUUCAGAUUAACAAUGGUCACUUUUUACUGUAUAUAUGUCUCAACUAUUGUGUGGGACAUACUUAUACUAAAAAAAAAUUCCUUGUUUAUCUGGAAUUCAGAUUUAACUGGGCAUCCAGUGUUUUAUGGAACCCCUAGAAGUAGCGCAGGAGCUUUGGGACCCUGGGGAACUAUGCCUUAGAUGUGGACAAAGCAUCUUUACCCAUAGCUGCUUACAGUGGAGGUAAGACCAUCUCCCUGACCUUUGCCAUGAUGGAGCUCAUCCCUCAAGGGUCCCAGGAGGAAAGGAUGGAAAGAGUAAAUACCACAUGGUGGCUAAGUGAAGGUUUCAUCUACUAACAUUUACAGUAGUCUCUUCUUACUGUGGGUUGUUGUUAGGUGCUGUUGAGUUGAUUUUGACUCAUAAUGACCUCAUGUGACAGGGUAAAACUGCUCCAUAGAGUUUUCUAGGCUGUAAUCCUCACGGCAGCAGAUGGCCAGGUCAUUUUUAUCCAAUAACAUAGACUCCCUCUCCUCUUUUCCAGGUGGAGCCACUGGAUGGGUUUGAACCGCCAAUCUUUCGGUUAGCAGCCAAGUGGUUAACCAUUACACCACCAGGGCUACUUUACUAGGGUCAGAGAUCCCUCAUGACUGUUUGCAGUCACUCCUUGUUCUCCAGCUAUGGGGAUGGAGUGAGAUUACACAGGCAUAAAAGGAAUCCCCUGCACGAUCUCCAAGAUGGGACUUAACGAUUUCUAUGAACACUGAAGAGGAAGACACUAUCCUUGACCUCAAGAAGAUUAAAGUAUGAGAGACAUGAGCAGCUCCUGUGAAUGAACUGGAAAAACAAUUCAUUAAAGUCCUUUGUCUAGUGACACAGUGUGAGACCCAGAUUGGAUGGCCUUUAGGAAUUCAUAAAAAUGAGAAGAUCAGUGAGGACCGAAAUUUUAUGAGCUAGGACUUGAUAGUUAUGUAGUUUGAACAUGUAUAAGCAUGGGAUAAGGUCCAUAACUUCUGAACCAAAAAUAAGAGCACAUGAUUUGAUAACCUGAAAAUAGGUGGAAUCUUUGAAAUCAUAUCUCUUUUGUGAACUUGAGGUAUAUAGUUUCAGAAGAUGUAGAGCUUAUGGGUGGGAGGACAUUCCAGGUGGGAAGAGUAGGUGAACAAAGGUGCAAAAGACCACAAGGGCAGGAGGAACAGGAGGGCACCAGGGCUGUGCCGGGCAGCAUGAGAAGUCAGGUGAGAGGGCUGAGAAUGGAGCCGGUCAUGGAAGCACUGAAAACCUGGUGCAGGAGUUUAGUCUCUGAUGUUCUUUGAGUGGAGGAGCAGCAGGAUGAAAGGUAUUGAUGAAACAAUGAUCUGGCAAUGGAUUGGUUCGUAGUGAAUGUGCUGGAGAGUGGGGGAGGUGGUUUGGGCUGUUGAGAGCUGGACAAGGGUGGUGGAGGAAUAAUAAUGUAAUAGCAGAGACAUUCUGGAAGACCAACUGGAAGAAUCAGAUUGGGUGAAUUUCUAGAAAAAUGUUCGGGUGUUUGAGGUGAGACUAUUUCUUAGUUUAGAGCCAAGUUCCCCAUUUUGGAACCUGGGAGAACAGUGGUGCCCAUUGUCAUUUUUCUCUUCCUUCAAAAAUCCAAAUAUGUGAAGGCAGAGCCAAGAUGGCGCUAUAGACAGAAGCAUCACACUAUCCUUCCACGGCAAAGAUCUGAAAAACUAAGUAAAACAGAGACAAACAUCAAUCCCGGAGCCCUAAGCAUCAAAUGAAGGGAUACAGAAUUCAACCAAGCACCAAAUGGAAUCAGAAACUAACAGAGAACAGAAAGUGAACAGAGCUAUGGAAUGAAGGUCUCCUUUCAGCUAACGUGGCACGGAUUCACCAUCUUGGACCCCUCAGCCACCUUGAAUAGUGGACAGGGAGUAUGGGAAGGCAGCUUCACAGAGCUCCCAGCAGAAGACAGAGCAGGUAACCAGUGAUAAACACUUUCCCAGCCGCCACCCUUCUUUCCUCUGCUCAGCCUCGCCUGCUUUGUGGUGAACUGAGGUUGCACAGCCAGGGAGAUGCCUGCUCCUUUUCACUUGGAUUCACCCUGCCUACACUGGAAUUUUUUUUGUUGCUUUUUUUGGCUUCUUUUGGUUUCUUCUCUCUCUCUCACCUCCUUUCUCUUGAACACCUGGCUCCAUGUGCCAUCUCUGCUCCUUCUCGAUGGGCUGUGCAGCAUCGCUUAGCUGGGGAGCCACUUUCCCAGUCUGCACCAUCAUGUCAGUGGGCUCCCUGGGGACUUUUUUUUAAAUUCUUUUUCUUUGUUUCGCAGUUCCUUGUCUCUCUCUACUUUCCUUCUUUUCCUUUCUCCUGAGUACCUGACACCCUGUGCCAUCUCUUUUCCUUCUUGACAGGCUAUGUGGUGCUGCUUGACUGGGGAGCCACUUCACUGGUCCAAGUCACCAUGCCAGUGGACUACCUUGGGGCAUUUUUAAACUUCUGAUUUCCUUUUUUUUCCUCUUCCUUUCUUUUCUCGGUUUCUUGUCUCUCUCUACCUCCCUUCCCUUCCUUUCUCCUGGACACCUGGUGCUGUGUGCCAGCUUAGUUCCUUUUUGAUGGUCUGUGCAGUGCUGCUCGGCUAGGGAGUGCCUUCCCUGAUCUGAGCCACCAUGCCAGUGGUUUUCCUUGGGGCAUUUUUUACAUUUUUUUUUCUGUCUUGUUUUCUUGGUCUCUUGUCUUUCUCUACCUUCCUUCCUUACCCUUCUCCUGAACACCUGGCAAUGUGUGCCAUAUCCGCUCCUUCUUGACAGGCUGUGCAGCGUCCCUUGGCUGGGGACCUCCUUCCAGUGGGCUCCCUUGGAGCAUUUUUUUUUUCUUCUUUUUUGCUCAGUUUCUUGCCUCUUUCUACCUUCCUUUCUUUCCUUUCUCCCAACCACCUCGCAUCUUUUUUUUUCUCUUGGUUUCUUAUCUCUCUCUCUACCUUCCUUCCAUUCCUUUCUCCCAACCACCUGGCUGUGUGUGCCUUUCUCUCUCUCUUUUUAAAAAGUCUAGUUUCUUAUCUGUGUGUCCCUUUCUUCCUUUCCUUUCUCCCACCCACUUAGCUGCGUAUGCCAUUUCUGUCCCUUCUUGAUAGGCUGCACCACACCGCACGGCUAAAAACCCACUGGCACAUAGCUUCCCCAGGUCUGCGCCACUCCAAUGGCAGGCCCCUCAUCACUUUUUUUUGGCUUCUGUUUCUCUCCUUUUCUUCUUUCCCACACCCACUUAGCUCCACACAUCACACCCUCCCACUCCCUCCUGCCUAUCUGCACUGAGUGGUGAGCAUCACACCUCUGAGUGGCACAGGCAAGGGCUACCGGAACCUCCCCUGCACUGCCCCGGCCCUGCCCUAUUGGACCCAGUAUGUGCCACAAAUGACCCAUCUGAGGCGCUCGCCCUCCACUGGACAUGCUCUGCUGCACCAUAGCUAAGGGACUGGCCCUGCCCAUUGGACAAGGUGGUAAGAAGUAUCAUGCCCACAGACAAGCAAACAUUAAAGAAUGUCCAGCCCUAAAAAGCAGGAUGAAACAAACAAAUCUACAAUCAGUAAAUGAAGAAAAUAAUUACUGAAUGUCCCGAAGACAGCAGAUAAUUUCAAAACAUAUUAAAAAAAAAAAAAAGGACAGGAUGGUUCCAGUAGAUGUUCAAAAUAAAGCACAAGAUUACCUCCCAGUAGAAGAAAAGGCACUGGAACUACCUAAUAGGGAAUUCAAAUCUCUAAUAUGCAGGACCAGUCAAGAGACGAAGGAAAAAGCAGAUAGCAAUGAGGAAAAAUAGACAAAACCAUGGAAAAGACAGACAAAACAAUGAAAAAUUCAGGAGAAUAAUACAGGAACAAAAUGUCAAACUCACAACUAGAAAUCAUUCGAAACAGCAAUUAGAAAUCCAAAAGAUAAACAAGAUUUCAGAAAUGGACAGUGCCAUAGAAGUUUGAGGAGCAGGUUUGAACUGAUGGAAGACAGGAUCAACAAAAUUGAAGUCAAACACUUGGAUACCACUUUCUUUGAGGAAAAAUGAGAGAAAAGAAUGAAGAAACCCUGGGAACGAUGUGGGAAACAAUCAAAAGCAAAAAUUUACAAGUGAUCAGAGUUCCAGAAGAGGAGGAGAAAAUUGAAAACACAGAGAGGACCAUUGAAGAAUUGCUGACGGAAAACUUCUCUAAUAUCAUGAAAGAUGAAAAGCUGACCAUUCAGAAGCUCUACGAACCCCAUAUAGUAUAGAAAAAAAAAAUAGUAUAGACCUCCCCCCAAAUCACCAAAUCACCAAAGCGUAUCAUAAUUACACUCACUAUAGCCAAAGAUGAAGAAAAAAUUCUGAGAGCAGCUCAACAAAAAUGAAAAAUCACAUACAGAGGGGCACCAAUAAGACUAAGCUCUGAUUACUCAGCAGAAACCAUGCAGGCAAGAAAGCAAUGGGAUGACAUAUAUAAAACCUUGAAAAAAAAAUUGCCAACCAAGAAUAAUAUAUCCUGCAAAAUUCCCAGUCAUAUAUGAUGGUGAAGUUAGGACAUUUUCAGAUUAACAGAAAUUAAGGGAAUAUGUAAAAACCAAACCAAACUUACAAGAAUUAUGAAAGGGAGUCCUUCAAUCUGAGAACAAACAUCAGACCACAGCCUGAAUCUAGGAUGCAAGAUUGUACUAGCCAGAUACCAACCUAGGAAAUGAACUCUCAAAGACUAUUGAAAACCAGAAGAAUUGCAACAGGGAGCCAGAGAGGUUAAUCUGUAAAUGACAACAACAUCAGAACAAUAAAAGAGGGAAUAAACAGUGUAGGUACCGAAAUUUCAAAUGGAGAGGAAGUCAAGGCAAUGCCAGGUAAUAAAAUGCUGGUUCAAACUUAGGAAGAUUUGGUAAAUUUCAAGGUAAUCACAAAGAAUAUUAACAAACCUACUCAUCAAAAUAAAGAAGAAAAACAUAAAGUCUCAGUGAACACAAAAUCUACAAAAACAAAAGAAAUGAAAAAAAUCCACAAACAUAAGGAAUUCAGCACAGGAGUGUAAGCAGAACAAAGAAAAUGUCAGCACUACAAAAAAGAAAAAAAUUACAAAAUGACAGCAAUAAACUCACACCUAUCAAUAAUUACAUUGAACAUAAAUGGCCUAAAUGUACCCAUAAAGAGACAGAGAGUGACAGAAUGGAUAAAAAAACAGGACCCAUCAAUAUGCUGUCUACAAGAGAUACACCUUAGAGACAAAGACAUAAAUUUAUUAAAAAUCAAAGGAUGGAAAAAGAUAUAUCAAGCAACUAGCUACCAAAAUAAAAGAGCAGGAGUGGCAAUAUUAAUCUCAGAUAAAAUAUACUUUAAAACAAAAUCUAUCAUAAAAAACAAAGAAGGGCAUUAUAUAAUGAUUAAAGGGACAAUCCAUCAUGAAUACAUAGCCAUAAGAAAUAUCUAAGCACCUGAUGACAGGACUCCAAAAUACAUAAAACAAACUCUAACAGCACUGUAAAGAGAAAUUGACAGUUCCACAAUUAUAGUUGGAGACUUCAACACAUCACUUUCAGUAAAAGACAGAACAUCUAGAAACUCAACAAAGAUACAGAAGAUCUAAAGGCCACAAUCAGCCAACUUGAACUUAUUGGCAUAUAUAGAACACUCCAACCAAGAGCUGAAAAGUACACAUUCUUUUCCAACACACAUGGAACGUUCUCCAGAAUAAACCACAUCUUAGGCCACAAAGCAACCCUCAACAAAAUCCAAAACAUUGACAUAAUACAAAGUAUAUUCUCUGAUCAAAAUGAUAACAAAGUAGAAAUUGAUAACAGGAAAAGCAAGGAAAAAAAAUCAAAUACAUGGAAACCAAAUAACACCUUAAACACCACUGGGUAAUAGAAGAAAUCAAUGAUGGACUCAGAAAAUUCCUAGAAGCAAACAAGAAUGAAAACACAUCAUACCUUUGGGACACAGCAAAGGGAGUGCUCAGAGGUCAAUUUAUAGCAAUAUAUGCAAACAUCAAAAAAGAAGAAAAGGAUAAAACCAAAACAAUAGCUACACAACUGGAACAAAUAAAGAGAACAGAAAAAGGAGUCCACAGCCACCAGAAGAAAGGAAUUAUAAAGAUCAGAGCAGAAAUAAAUGAAAUAGAGAAUAGAAAAACAAUAGAAAGAAUCGACAAAACCAAAAGUUUGUUCUUUGAAAGGAUCAACAAAAUCAAUAAACCGUUGGUCAAAUUGACAAAAGAAAAGCAGGAGAGGAUGCCAGUAACCCAAAUAAGAAUUGAAAUGGGGGAAAUUACAAAAGGAUCAUAACAGAACACUAUGAAAAACUAUACUUCAACAAAUUUGAAACCUAGAAGAAAUGGACAAAUUCCUAGAAACACACUACAUACACAAACUAACACAAAAUGAAGUUGAAAAUCUGAACAGACCCAUAACAAGAGAUUGAAAAGGUAAUAAAAAAAACUCCCAACCACAAAAAAAGGCCUGACCCAGAUGGCAUCACUGGAGAAUUCUGCUAAACAUUCAGAGAAGAGCUUACACCAGUACGACUCAAACUAUGUUUCGAAACAUAGAAAAGGAAGGGAUACUUCAAAAUUCAUUCUAUGAAAGCAAACAUAACCCUGACACCACAAAAAAAUAAAAUUACAGACCAAUAUCUCUCAUGAAUAUAUAUGCAAAAAUUCUUGACAAGAUUCUAGCCAAUAGAGUUCAGCAUUGUAUCAAAAAAAUAAUACACCACGACCAAGUGGAAUUCAUACCAGAAAAACAAGGAUGGUUCAACAUUAGAAAAUCAAUCAAUGUAAUCCACCAUAUAAAUAAAAGAAUCGCAUGAUUGUCUCAGUCGAUGAAGAAAAGGCAUUUGACAAAGUCCAACACCCAUUCCUGAUAAAAACUCUCAAUAAAAUAGAUAUAGAAGGGAAAUUUCUCAACAUAAUAAAGGAUAUCUAUACAAAACCAAUGGAAACGCUGGUGGCAUAGUGGUUAAGAGCUACCACUGCUAACCAAAAGGUCAGCAGUUCAGAUCUGCCAGGUGCUCCUUGGAAACCCUAUGGGGCAGUUCUACUCUGUCCUAUAGGGUUGCUAUGAGUCAGAAUCAGCUUGACGACAAUGGGUGGGUGAGUUUAUACAAAACCAACAGCCACCAUGAUUCUUAAUAAAGAGAGGCUGAAAACAUCCCCCUUGGGAACAGGAAUAAAACAAGGAUGCCCUUUGUCACCAUUCCUGUUUGACAUUGUGCUGCAGGUCCUAGCUAGAGCAAUAAGGCAAGAAAAAGAAAUAAAGGGCAUCCAAAUUAGUAAUGAAGAAGUAAAACUGUCCGUAUUUGUGGUGAUAUGAUACUAUACAUAGAAAACUGAAAAGACUUCACAAGAAAAAUACUGAAAUUAAUAGAAAGAUUCAGCAGAGUAGCAGGAGAUAAGAUAAACAUACAAAAACCAAUUAGAUUCCUAUACAACAAUAAAGAGAAAGAUGAAAAGGAGAUCAGGAAAACAAUAUCAUUUAUCAUAGCCUCUACGAACAUUAAAUACUUAGGAAUAAACUAACCAGGGAUGUAAAAGACCUAUGCAAAGAGAACUACAAAGCACUACUGUAAGAAACCAAAAGAGAACUACAUAAAUGGAGAAACAUACCAUGCUCACAGAUGGGUAGACUCAACAUUAUGAAAAUGUAAAUUCUACCCAAAGCAACCUAGAAAUACAAUGCAAUUCUGAUCCAAAUACGAAGAGCAUUCUUUAAAGAGAUGGAACAACUAAUCAUUAACUUUGUAUGGAAAGGGAAGAGGCCCUGGAUAAGUAAAGCACUGUUGAGGAAGAAUAAAGUAGGAGGACUCACACUACCUGACCUCAGAACCUACUAAACAGCUAUGGUAGUCAAAAAAGCCUGGUAUAGCCUGGUACAGUACAACGACAGAUACAUUGACUAACGGAGCAGAAUUGAGAACCCAGAUGUAAAUCCAUCCACCUAUGAUCACCUGAUCUUCUAACAAGGGCCCAAAUGCCAUCAAAUGGAGAAAAGACAGUCUUUUUAACAAAUGGUGCUGGCAAAACUGAAUAUCCAUCUCCAAAAAAAAAAAACAAAAACAAAAACACAGGACCCAUACCUCACACCAUACACAAAAAUUAAUUCAAAAUGGAUCAAAGACCUAAAUAUAAAAUAAAAACUGUAAAGAUAAUAGAAGAAAAGUAGGAUCAACGCUGGAGUCCCUAAUACAUGGCAUUAACAGGUUACAAACCAUAACUAAUGACACACACACUCCAGAAGAUAAGCUAGAUAACUGGAAUCUUCUAAAAAUUAAACACUUUUGCUCAUCAAAAGACUUCACCAAAAGAGUAAGAAGAGAACCUACAGACUGGGAAAAAAAUUUUGGCCAUGACAAACCCAGCAAAGGUCUAACCUCUAAAAUCUGCAGGAGAACCCAACACCUGUCCAACAUAAAGAUAAAUAAUUCAAUUAAAAAACGACCAAAGGAUAUGAACAGACACUUCACCAAAGAAGACAUUUCUUCUGAGUCACCUAGCUGCAGGGGCUGGCGAACCCAAGAUAGGCAGGUCGGGGAGCAGGACUCUUGCUUGCAGGCUGUGAAGAUUGGUGAAUCCCAAGAUGGACAGGUAAGCUGUUAGCUCAAGUCCCAAGAACCAGAGGUCAGACAUGAGACAGCUGUUGGAUGCAGAGCAAGCCAAUAACAUUUGCAAGGCAAGCAGAAAAGGAAGUGGGUGGCAGAAGGUGGAGAGAUGAAGCCUGAGGGGGCGGUGAGCCACCACAGCCCUCACUCCCACCGGUACCACUCAGCAGAUUCCAUCAUGGGGGUAAAUCUGCUGCAAACGACCUCUUCAAAGUGUUGAAGAGCAAAGAUGUCACCCUGAAGACUAAGGUGCGCCUGACCUAAGCCAUGGUAUUUUCAAUCGCAUCAUAUGCAUGUGAAAAAGCUGGACAAUGAAUAAGGAAGACCGAAGAAGAAUUGACAUCUUUGAAUUGUAGUGCUGGCGAAGAAUAUUGAAUAUACCAUGGACUGCCAAAAGAAUGAGCAAAUCUGUCUUAGAUGUACAGCCAGAAUGCUCCUUAGAGGCAAGGACGACGAGACUGCGUCUUACAUACUUUGGACAUGUUGUCAGGAGGGGUCAGGCCCUGGAGAAGGACAUCAUGCUUGGCAAGGUACAGGGUCAGUGGAAAACAGGCAGACCCUUAACGAGGUGGAUUGACACAGUGGCUGCAACAAUGAGCUCAAGCAUAACAACGAUUGUAAGGAUGGCUCAGGACCAGGCAGUGUUUUGUUCUAUUGUGCAUAGGGUCGCUAUGAGUUGGAGCCGACUUGACGGCACCUAACAAUAACAAGUGUUAACUUUGGUGAAGGAUAAGACAGUACACAAUACUGAGGAAGCCAGUACAACUUGUUCAUGGAAGCUCCGUAGAAACAUCCAAGCUCCCUGAGGGACCAAACUGCUGGCCUGAGGACCAUGUUCUCAGGGACAUCUAGCUCAAUUGGCAUAACAUAGUUUAUAAAGAAAAUGUUCUAUAUUCUACUUUGGUAAGUAGUGUCUGGGGUCUUAAAAGCCUGUGAGCAGCCAUCUAGGAUACUCCACUGGUCUCACCCCAUCUGGAGCAAGCGAGAAUGAAGAAAAUCAAAGACAUAAGGGAAAGAUUAGUCCAAAGGCUACCACCACCAACUGCUCUGACAAGGAUCACAAUAGAGGGUCCUGGACAGAGCAGGAGAAAAAUGUGGAACAAAUUCUAACACACAUAUACACACAAAAGACCAGACUUAUUGAUCUGACUGGAAAAACCCUGAGAGUAUGGCUCCUGGACUUCCUUUUAGCUCAGUACUGGAGUUACUCCUGACGUUCACCCUUCACCCAAAGAUUAGACAGGCCCAUAAAACAAAAUGAGACUAAAAGGGCACACCAGCCCAGGGCAAGGAAGAGAAGGUAGGAGGGGACAGGAAAGCUGGUAAUAAGGCAACCAAUGUCACAAAACAAUAUGUGUACUAAUUGUUUAAUAAAAAGCUAGUUUAUUCUGUAAACCUUCAUCUAAAGUACAAAAAAAAAAAAAAAAAAAAAAACCCAAGAGGUAACGACUGUAGAAAUUAUUUUAGGACCAUAGCAGUUUCAUUUUCCUCCAAAGACAUGACAAAAUAGUGAUUCAAAUAAAAUUUAAUGCACACAUUAAAAAAAAAAAUCCAAAUGUGCCACUUUCCUUGAUGAAUCUCGCUCCUUUCUAAUUGUGCUUUUGUCUGGGGUGAUAAGGACAGAUUUUAAGGAGGGUCAGAACACUGGGUAGGAUUUAUGCUGGCAGAAAUGAGAUGGGUGUGUAUGUGGGGGGGUGUGUUUGGGGGAGGGUCUCAUCAAAGGCAGUGGCAUGUGGAAAACAUCUGAUAGGACUGUCAGAGGCCCCAGAGAGGAGCAAGUGUCUGACUUUCAGGAAGCUGCUCCCUCCACAGUGCCCAGGUAAAACCUCAGUCAUCAGCAUGCCCCCCACCCUCCCUCCUGCCCACCUCAGGAAUCAGAUACUGAGAUACAGUAUAAAACGUUUUUAUUUAAAAAUGCAAAAUGGUGGUCAUUGCAAUAAUAAUAACAAUAAUAUAAAAAGCAUUUCCUCGCCUUCUUCCCUAGCGCAAAAUGAUAAAUGCACUUAAAUAUCCGCCCCCCCCUAAAAAAACAAACCCAAACUCAUUGCAGUCCAGUCGAUUCCGACUCAUAGCGACCCUGUAGGACAGAGGAGAGCUGCCCCAUAGAGGAGCACCUGGAUUUGAAC